rnacentral:rRNA from 1 species
GUGGUGGGGUAAAGGCUCACCAAGGCGACGAUCAGUAGCCGGCCUGAGAGGGCGACCGGCCACAUUGGGACUGAGACACGGCCCAGACUCCUACGGAAGGCAGCAG